rnacentral:rRNA from 1 species
GGUUAAGCGACUAAGCGUACACGGUGGAUGCCCUGGCAGUCAGAGGCGAUGAAGGACGUGCUAAUCUGCGAAAAGCGUCGGUAAGGUGAUAUGAACCGUUACAGCCGGCGAUGUCCGAAUGGGGAAACCCAGUGCAAUUCGUUGCACUAUCGUUGAUGAAUACAUAGUCAAACGAGGCGAACCGGGGAACUGAAACAUCUAAGUACCCCGAGGAAAAGAAAUCAACCGAGAUUCCCCAGUAGCGGCGAGCGAACGGGGAGCAGCCCGGAGUCUGAAUCAGCUUGUGUGUUAGUGGAAGCGUCUGGAAAGUCGCAGGGUACAGGGUGAUACUCCCGUACACUAAAACACACAGGUUGUGAACUCGAAGAGUAGGGCGGGACACGUGGUAUCCUGUCUGAAUAUGGGGGGACCAUCCUCCAAGGCUAAAUACUCCUGACUGACCGAUAGUGAACCAGUACCGUGAGGGAAAGGCGAAAAGAACCCCGGCGAGGGGAGUGAAAAAGAACCUGAAACCGUGUACGUACAAGCAGUAGGAGCCCACUAGUUGGGUGACUGCGUACCUUUUGUAUAAUGGGUCAGCGACUUAUAUUCUGUAGCAAGGUUAACCGUAUAGGGGAGCCGCAGGGAAACCGAGUCUUAACUGGGCGUUAAGUUGCAGGGUAUAGACCCGAAACCCGGUGAUCUAGCCAUGGGCAGGUUGAAGGUUGGGUAACACUAACUGGAGGACCGAACCGACUAAUGUUGAAAAAUUAGCGGAUGACUUGUGGCUGGGGGUGAAAGGCCAAUCAAACCGGGAGAUAGCUGGUUCUCCCGAAAGCUAUUUAGGUAGCGCCUCGUGAAUUCAUCUUCGGGGGUAGAGCACUGUUUCGGCUAGGGGUCAUCCCGACUUACCAACCCGAUGCAAACUACGAAUACCGAAGAAUGUUAUCACGGGAGACACACGGCGGGUGCUAACGUCCGUCGUGAAGAGGGAAACAACCCAGACCGCCAGCUAAGGUCCCAAAGUCAUGGUUAAGUGGGAAACGAUGUGGGAAGGCCCAGACAGCCAGGAUGUUGGCUUAGAAGCAGCCAUCAUUUAAAGAAAGCGUAAUAGCUCACUGGUCGAGUCGGCCUGCGCGGAAGAUGUAACGGGGCUAAACCAUGCACCGAAGCUGCGGCAGCGACACUAUGUGUUGUUGGGUAGGGGAGCGUUCUGUAAGCCGUUGAAGGUGGCCUGUGAGGGUUGCUGGAGGUAUCAGAAGUGCGAAUGCUGACAUAAGUAACGAUAAUGCGGGUGAAAAACCCGCACGCCGGAAGACCAAGGGUUCCUGUCCAACGUUAAUCGGGGCAGGGUGAGUCGACCCCUAAGGCGAGGCCGAAAGGCGUAGUCGAUGGGAAACAGGUUAAUAUUCCUGUACUUGGUGUUACUGCGAAGGGGGACGGAGAAGGCUAUGUUGGCCGGGCGACGGUUGUCCCGGUUUAAGCGUGUAGGUGUGUGUUCCAGGUAAAUCCGGUUCACUUUAACACUGAGGCGUGAUGACGAGGCACUACGGUGCUGAAGUGACAAAUGCCCUGCUUCCAGGAAAAGCCUCUAAGCAUCAGGUAACAUCAAAUCGUACCCCAAACCGACACAGGUGGUCAGGUAGAGAAUACCAAGGCGCUUGAGAGAACUCGGGUGAAGGAACUAGGCAAAAUGGUGCCGUAACUUCGGGAGAAGGCACGCUGAUGGUAAGUGAAGCGACUUGCUCGUGGAGCUGAAAUCAGUCGAAGAUACCAGCUGGCUGCAACUGUUUAUUAAAAACACAGCACUGUGCAAACACGAAAGUGGACGUAUACGGUGUGACGCCUGCCCGGUGCCGGAAGGUUAAUUGAUGGGGUUAUCCGCGGAGAAGCUCUUGAUCGAAGCCCCGGUAAACGGCGGCCGUAACUAUAACGGUCCUAAGGUAGCGAAAUUCCUUGUCGGGUAAGUUCCGACCUGCACGAAUGGCGUAAUGAUGGCCAGGCUGUCUCCACCCGAGACUCAGUGAAAUUGAACUCGCUGUGAAGAUGCAGUGUACCCGCGGCAAGACGGAAAGACCCCGUGAACCUUUACUAUAGCUUGACACUGAACACUGGUCCUUGAUGUGUAGGAUAGGUGGGAGGCUUUGAAGUGUGGACGCCAGUCUGCAUGGAGCCAUCCUUGAAAUACCACCCUUUAAUGGCUGGUGUUCUAACGUGGGCCCCUAAUCGGGGUUGCGGACAGUGUCUGGUGGGUAGUUUGACUGGGGCGGUCUCCUCCUAAAGAGUAACGGAGGAGCACGAAGGUCAGCUAAUCCUGGUCGGACAUCAGGAGGUUAGUGCAAUGGCAUAAGCUGGCUUGACUGCGAGCGUGACGGCGCGAGCAGGUGCGAAAGCAGGUCAUAGUGAUCCGGUGGUUCUGAAUGGAAGGGCCAUCGCUCAACGGAUAAAAGGUACUCCGGGGAUAACAGGCUGAUACCGCCCAAGAGUUCAUAUCGACGGCGGUGUUUGGCACCUCGAUGUCGGCUCAUCACAUCCUGGGGCUGAAGUAGGUCCCAAGGGUAUGGCUGUUCGCCAUUUAAAGUGGUACGCGAGCUGGGUUUAGAACGUCGUGAGACAGUUCGGUCCCUAUCUGCCGUGGGCGCUGGAGAAUUGAGGGGGCUGCUCCUAGUACGAGAGGACCGGAGUGGACGCAUCACUGGUGUUCGGGUUGUCAUGCCAAUGGCAUUGCCCGGUAGCUAAAUGCGGAAGAGAUAAGUGCUGAAAGCAUCUAAGCACGAAACUUGCCCCGAGAUGAGUUCUCCCUGACCCUUUAAGGGUCCUGAAGGAACGUUGAAGACGACGACGUUGAUAGGCCGGGUGUGUAAGCGCAGCGAUGCGUUGAGCUAACCGGUACUAAUGAACCGUGAGGCUUAACCUU